rnacentral:rRNA from 1 species
CCUACGGGAGGCAGCAGUGGGGAAUAUUGCGCAAUGGGCGAAAGCCUGACGCAGCGACGCCGCGUGCGGGAUGAAGGUCUUCGGAUCGUACACCUCUGUCAGCAGGGAAGAACGGUCACUGUGCUAAUCAGCAGUGAAUUGACGGUACCUGCAAAGGAAGCACCGGCUAACACCGUGCCAGCAGCCGCGGUAAUACGGAGGGUGCGAGCGUUAAUCGGAAUGACUGGGCGUAAAGCGCUCGUAGGCGGUAUGUCAAGUCAAGGGAGAAAUCCCCGCGCUCAACGUGGGAAGUGCCUUUGAAACUGGCAAACUAGAGUGUGUGAGAGGAUAGUGAAAUUCCAGGUGUAGGAGUGAAAUCCGUAGAUAUCUGGAGGAACAUCAGUGGCGAAGGCGACUAUCUGGCACAUAACUGACGCUGAGGAGCGAAAGCGUGGGUAGCAAACAGGAUUAGAUCCCUGUAGUC